rnacentral:rRNA from 1 species
GUGUCAGCAGCCGCGGUAAUACGUAGGUGGCAAGCGUUGUCCGGAAUUAUUGGGCAUAAAGGGCUCGCAGGCGGUUCCUUAAGUCUGAUGUGAAAGCCCCCGGCUCAACCGGGGAGGGUCAUUGGAAACUGGGGAACUUGAGUGCAGAAGAGGAGAGUGGAAUUCCACGUGUAGCGGUGAAAUGCGUAGAGAUGUGGAGGAACACCAGUGGCGAAGGCGACUCUCUGGUCUGUAACUGACGCUGAGGAGCGAAAGCGUGGGGAGCGAACAGGAUUAGAAACCCGUGUAGUCC